AGCAGGACCUCAAGGUUUAGGUCGUCCUCCUAUUGGAAAUACAUGUUGACCACGAAUGCUUCCGCAUACCCAACUGGACUUGCACCAGUCACUGCCACAAAAAGAUCAAGCUCUCGACGAUGCUUCAACCUGGUGCCAGAUGAAUGCAUGGCGAUUGAAAACCACUGGGAGAAUCGGAAUUUCCAGCUUGAUUCCCUUCACGUCCAUGCAAUCAUAAGGCUUUACUUUUCUGUUUUUUCUUUUCGUUCUUAAUAAUCACAAACAUUCUGACAUGCAUCUUUUGGUUUCUUGGUUUCUUUGCAUACUGCUUUAUUCAUCCAACCCUCAAAUUACGAGAAAAACAGCCCAUUUGUGCGGUAUCUUGCCAUGAAUAACUAUGAUAGCUUCAUGUGGACGGUUGACACUCCACCCAGUAUGUUACAAGGCUAAAGGAUCUUGUUUGGUUGGGGAGAAAGUGUAGGGAAAUGGAAGGAACCAAAAUCUUUGAACACUGCAUGGUCUCAAAUUUUGGGGUUCUUCAAGAAUAAGAUAACUUAUCUGGUUCUGUUUUUUCUUGGUUUUGUAUGGAACCAAAUAGAGGAGUGAGAAAAUUGCUGUUCUCAGUAAUGUUCUUGUUUGAUUUUUGAUGUUCUUCCACUUCUUUGUACAGGGAAAGCUAGAUGGUUUGAAACGUAAAUGCAUGUGAUCAGAAUUAAAAAGAUUAUUAAAAAAGAAAAGAAAAAACAAGAAGAGUAAAGAUUGUUCUUCUUAUAGGUUAAUGGACGUGAAGAUCAUCAAGUUGGAAAUUUGCGAUUCACCCGGUUUUCAAUGGCCAUAUAUUCAUCUGAAACCGUGUUGCAAUGUUCGUUGACAGCUUGAUAUUUCUGUGGCAGUGACGAUUGCAAACCAAGAAAAUAUACCCUGUAAUUUUCUUUCAUUUAUUUUUCGUUUCUCAGCAACCAAAUGGACAUCGCAGGAGGGUCGACUUCAAUGCAUGAAGGAGCUAGCGGCAAAGUACGAAGGGGAGGUGGCCAUAAGCUCAAAAACAACAUAGCCAAACAUAGCCAAUCCGGUAGUACAAGUCCUGGUGCAACGCCACUGUACCAGGUCUUCCACCAGCACCUCCAUCUAUUCAUCCUCCUUAUCCUAUUAUUGGUAUGUCUAAACCUGCAGCAACACCAUACACUGGGGAAAGCCACCACCAUAUUAUCCUCCUUUUCUGUGUAGGAAAACAACACCAUACUAGGAUUCAUCAAUGGAUGAUAUGGUGGUGGCAUAGAAUUUCCCCUAGUUUAUGGUCUAGGUGGAUGUCUAGACAUAUGACUAGGUGGUGGUGCACCCAAACCACUAGGUGGUGUGUUCUUGGUCAUGUUGCUUUUGAGUUCA